UAUCUUUCCUUCGGGACAGAGGAGACNGGUGGUGCAUGGUUGUCGUCAGCUCGUGUCGUGAGAUGUUGGGUUAAGUCCCGCAACGAGCGCAACCCUUGAUCUUAGUUGCCAGCAUUUCGGAUGGGCACUCUAAGGUGACUGCCGGUGACAAACCGGAGGAAGGUGGGGAUGACGUCAAAUCAUCAUGCCCCUUAUGACCUGGGCUACACACGUACUACAAUGGCCGGUACAACGGGCUGUGAAGCCGCGAGGUGGAACGAAUCCUAAAAAGCCGGUCUCAGUUCGGAUUGCAGGCUGCAACUCGCCUGCAUGAAGUCGGAAUUGCUAGUAAUCGCGGAUCAGCAUGCCGCGGUGAAUACGUUCCCGGGUCUUGUACACACCGCCCGUCACACCACGAGAGUUUAUAACACCCGAAGUCGGUGGGGUAACCG
rnacentral:rRNA from 1 species